rnacentral:rRNA from 1 species
UGGGGAAUAUUGCGCAAUGGGGGGAACCCUGACGCAGCCAUGCCGCGUGAAUGAAGAAGGCCUUAGGGUUGUAAAGUUCUUUCGGUAUUGAGGAAGGUUGAUGUGUUAAUAGCACAUCAAAUUGACGUUAAAUACAGAAGAAGCACCGGCUAACUCCGUGCCAGCAGCCGCGGUAAUACGGAGGGUGCGAGCGUUAAUCGGAAUAACUGGGCGUAAAGGGCACGCAGGCGGUUAUUUAAGUGAGGUGUGAAAGCCCCGGGCUUAACCUGGGAAUUGCAUUUCAGACUGGGUAACUAGAGUACUUUAGGGAGGGGUAGAAUUCCACGUGUAGCGGUGAAAUGCGUAGAGAUGUGGAGGAAUACCGAAGGCGAAGGCAGCCCCUUGGGAAUGUACUGACGCUCAUGUGCGAAAGCGUGGGGAGCAAACAGGACUAGAUACCCUGGUAGUCCACGCUGUAAACGCUGUCGAUUUGGGGGUUGGGGUUUAACUUUGGCGCCCGUAGCUAACGUGAUAAAUCGACCGCCUGGGGAGUACGGCCGCAAGGUUA